CUUGAAGUUUUUUAAUUUAGUGAUAUAUGGGAGUGAAAUUAUUUUGUUCUCUUGUCAUAAACAGAGUUUGCAGGAAAGCUGGUGCAACUGUAAGAUGCUGAAAAGGAGACUAGAGAAAUAGCUUCUUAGUAGCAAUAUGAAUUUGUCUUUUUCUCUGAAUAGAGAAAUACUGCAGUUUUUUGGAUUUGGAGACGUUUUGGGUAAUGAAGUCUAGUCUUAGAUUUUUUUGAUAAUCCAUAAAUUAGAAGAUAUCUAAACUACUUCAAUCCUUUUAAAUGUAUUGAGAUUUGUUUUGUGGGCCAGCAUGUGGUCUUUCUUUGUAAAUUCCAUGUGCAUUUGAAAAGAAUGCAUAUUUUGCUAUUGUUGGUUGGAGUUUAGUAGAAAUUGUUAAUUAGGUUAAGUUGGUGGUUAGUGUGGGUCAACCUUCUGUGUCCUUUUUCUUGAUGUAAGGACAAGAAUAAUGACUUCCAAGCUCUUUAUAUGUCACAGAUGAAACAAGAAGUGUCAGGAAGUUAAGAUAAAAACCUGUAAAAUAAACUCAAAGAAGCACAAGGAAGGAAAUAAGAAAAAUGAGGGCAGAAAUUAAUGAAGCAGACGACAAGCUUUCUGAUACUGAAAAUCAGCAAAAGAAAAAAUAUUGGUUUGUUGAAAACUGAGAAACAUCUAACAGGACUAAUCAAGAUAAGAGAGAAUCGCAAGCAUAAGAAUAUCAAGGCUGAAAGGAGUGUGUCUCACUAGAGAUCUUCCAGGCGUUGAAACAAGCCUUUUCCUGGAACACAAGAGGAUGAGAAGAUUUCUCAACCAUUGCAAUUUUCCAGGAGCACAGGCUCAGGGAAAGUUCAACAUGGUCAUUUCCAAACUAGCACAUCAUGUCGCACCUCUACUGCUGGGUUCAGUCAGGGAAGAAGAACCAUGGUGAAGAUGAUGGAAAGAAGCCAUUCACUGUAGGAAUUAAACCUUACAAAACUGCUGGAGGUGGGGAAGUGAAAGUCUGGAAGGGAGUCAAGUCCGGGAGCUUGCAGGAAAAGCUGGGAAGCCGUGUGUGUCCAACCAGCAAUGUGGGCUCUGGAGCAGGAGCUAGUGGAAGCUAUUCCCUCUGCAUAACUUCCUCUCUGUAGAUCCACAGCCAAGAAUUUUCUGAGGAGUCCCAGGCUGCUACUGGACAUCAGGGCCAAAGAUUAGAAAGACCAGAUGGAUAGGGAGCUUUGAUCCAGUGUCCAUCACCAUAUGUGACUAUGGUGACCUUCUGAGAGUAAUAGCUGCUGUUUUACUUCUGACUUCCAAAUCUUAUACAAAUUCUCUUUUGACCAACUCUAACCUGGAUUGGAAAAGAAAGC